rnacentral:rRNA from 1 species
UUUAUGGAGAGUUUGAUCCUGGCUCAGAGUGAACGCUGGCGGCGUGCCUAAUACAUGCAAGUCGAACGAUGAAGCUUCUAGCUUGCUAGAAUGCUGAUUAGUGGCGCACGGGUGAGUAACGCAUAGGUCAUGUGCCUCUUAGUUUGGGAUAGCCAUUGGAAACGAUGAUUAAUACCAGAUACUCCCUACGGGGGAAAGAUUUAUCGCUAAGAGAUCAGCCUAUGUCCUAUCAGCUUGUUGGUAAGGUAAUGGCUUACCAAGGCUAUGACGGGUAUCCGGCCUGAGAGGGUGAACGGACACACUGGAACUGAGACACGGUCCAGACUCCUACGGGAGGCAGCAGUAGGGAAUAUUGCUCAAUGGGGGAAACCCUGAAGCAGCAACGCCGCGUGGAGGAUGAAGGUUUUAGGAUUGUAAACUCCUUUUGUUAGAGAAGAUAAUGACGGUAUCUAACGAAUAAGCACCGGCUAACUCCGUGCCAGCAGCCGCGGUAAUACGGAGGGUGCAAGCGUUACUCGGAAUCACUGGGCGUAAAGAGCGCGUAGGCGGGAUAGUCAGUCAGGUGUGAAAUCCUAUGGCUUAACCAUAGAACUGCAUUUGAAACUACUAUUCUAGAGUGUGGGAGAGGUAGGUGGAAUUCUUGGUGUAGGGGUAAAAUCCGUAGAGAUCAAGAGGAAUACUCAUUGCGAAGGCGACCUGCUGGAACAUUACUGACGCUGAUUGCGCGAAAGCGUGGGGAGCAAACAGGAUUAGAUACCCUGGUAGUCCACGCCCUAAACGAUGGAUGCUAGUUGUUGGAGGGCUUAGUCUCUCCAGUAAUGCAGCUAACGCAUUAAGCAUCCCGCCUGGGGAGUACGGUCGCAAGAUUAAAACUCAAAGGAAUAGACGGGGACCCGCACAAGCGGUGGAGCAUGUGGUUUAAUUCGAAGAUACACGAAGAACCUUACCUAGGCUUGACAUUGAGAGAAUCCGCUAGAAAUAGUGGAGUGUCUAGCUUGCUAGACCUUGAAAACAGGUGCUGCACGGCUGUCGUCAGCUCGUGUCGUGAGAUGUUGGGUUAAGUCCCGCAACGAGCGCAACCCCCUUUCUUAGUUGCUAACAGGUUAUGCUGAGAACUCUAAGGAUACUGCCUCCGUAAGGAGGAGGAAGGUGGGGACGACGUCAAGUCAUCAUGGCCCUUACGCCUAGGGCUACACACGUGCUACAAUGGGGUGCACAAAGAGAAGCAAUACUGCGAAGUGGAGCCAAUCUUCAAAACGCCUCUCAGUUCGGAUUGUAGGCUGCAACUCGCCUGCAUGAAGCUGGAAUCGCUAGUAAUCGCAAAUCAGCCAUGUUGCGGUGAAUACGUUCCCGGGUCUUGUACUCACCGCCCGUCACACCAUGGGAGUUGUGUUUGCCUUAAGUCAGGAUGCUAAAUUGGCUACUGCCCACGGCACACACAGCGACUGGGGUGAAGUCGUAACAAGGUAACCGUAGGUGAACCUGCGGUUGGAUCACCUCCUUUCUAGA